UUCACUUCAACCCAAUUUCACUUUCCCAAUUUGGGGGAAAGACUCAGUAUGAUCCACAAACCUGAAGUCCUGAUGUAACUAUUUCCUGAACAUGCCGCUUUCCAUCUUUGGGGUAUAUCAGCAGCAAAAAACUCAGCUGCUUGAUGCAACAGGAAUGAACCUCAAAUGAGACAACCCAGAGAUGAUAGAGAGAGAGAGCACAAGCAGGGGGAGCAGCAGGCAGAGGGAGAGUGAGAAGCAGGCUCCCUGCCAAGCAGGGAGCUCGAAGCGGGGCUUGAUCCCAGGACCCUAGGAUCAUGACCCGAGCCGAAAGCAGACGCUUAGCUGACUAAGCCACCCAGGCGCCCCUACUGGAAGCUUUUCUUUCCCUCUUUGAUAUACAAGGUGUAAGAUGUCAAGGAAGCAACUUUUAGGACUCCAAAAUACACCGACAUAGUCUUUGGGGAAAAAAAAGAUCAUCACUUCCCUUACAAAAUCUUUAGCAUACUGCUUUUUCUAGAAUUCAGUGCAAGAUCACUACUUCAUCUGUAC